AACGAACGCUGGCGGCAUGCCUAACACAUGCAAGUCGAACGAACUCUUCGGAGUUAGUGGCGCACGGGUGCGUAACGCGUGGGAACCUGCCCUUAGGUUCGGAGUAACUUCCCGAAAGGGAUGCUAAUACCGGAUAAUGUCUUCGGACCAAAGGUUUAUCGCCUUUGGAUGGGCCCGCGUAGGAUUAGCUUGUUGGUGGGGUAAUGGCCUACCAAGGCGACGAUCCUUAGCUGGUCUGAGAGGAUGAUCAGCCACACUGGGACUGAGACACGGCCCAGACUCCUACGGGAGGCAGCAGUGGGGAAUAUUGGACAAUGGGCGAAAGCCUGAUCCAGCAAUGCCGCGUGAGUGAUGAAGGCCUUAGGGUUGUAAAGCUCUUUUACCAGGGAUGAUAAUGACAGUACCUGGAGAAUAAGCUCCGGCUAACUCCGUGCCAGCAGCCGCGGUAAUACGGAGGGAGCUAGCGUUGUUCGGAAUUACUGGGCGUAGAGCGCACGUAGGCGGCGAUUCGAGUCAGAGGUGAAAGCCCGGGGCUCAACCCCGGAACUGCCUUUGAAACUAGAUUGCUAGAAUCCUGGAGAGGUUAGUGGAAUUCCGAGUGUAGAGGUGAAAUUCGUAGAUAUUCGGAAGAACACCAGUGGCGAAGGCGACUAACUGGACAGGUAUUGACGCUGAGGUGCGAAAGCGUGGGGAGCAAACAGG
rnacentral:rRNA from 1 species